rnacentral:rRNA from 1 species
UAUCAGUGUCCGUACAUCAAGCUUGGCUUCCUUCCUUCCGUGUAGUCGGUGGCGGGGACGCGCAGACGUGAAGUGUCUUGCUGGCCGUGA